GCCCAAGUAGCUCAGUUGGUAGAGCGCAUCCUUGGUAAGGAUGAGGUCACCGGUUCAAUCCCGGUCUUGGGCU
rnacentral:tRNA from 1 species